rnacentral:rRNA from 1 species
AGUGAACGCUGGCGGUAGGCCUAACACAUGCAAGUCGAACGGCAGCACAGGAGAGCUUGCCCUCUGGGUGGCGAGUGGCGGACGGGUGAGGAAUACAUCGGAAUCUGCCCAGUCGUGGGGGAUAACGUAGGGAAACUUACGCUAAUACCGCAUACGACCUUCGGGUGAAAGAGGGGGAUCGCAAGACCUCUCGCGAUUGGAUGAGCCGAUGUCGGAUUAGCUAGUUGGCGGGUAAUGGCCCACCAAGGCGACGAUCCGUAGCUGGUCUGAGAGGAUGAUCAGCCACACUGGAACUGAGACACGGUCCAGACUCCUACGGGAGGCAGCAGUGGGGAAUAUUGGACAAUGGGCGCAAGCCUGAUCCAGCCAUACCGCGUGGGUGAAGAAGGCCUUCGGGUUGUAAAGCCCUUUUGUUGGGAAAGAAAUCUUUCAGGCUAAUACCCUGGGAGGAUGACGGUACCCAAAGAAUAAGCACCGGCUAACUUCGUG